UACGUAGGGGGCUAGCGUUGUCCGGAAUCAUUGGGCGUAAAGUGCGUGUAGGCGGUUCGGUAAGUCCGCUGUGAAAGUCGGGGGCUCAACCCUCGGAUGCCGGUGGAUACUGUCGGACUAGAGUACGGAAGAGGCGAGUGGAAUUCCUGGUGUAGCGGUGAAAUGCGCAGAUAUCAGGAGGAACACCGAUUGCGAAGGCAGCUCGCUGGGACGUUACUGACGCUGAGACGCGAAAGCGUGGGGAGCAAACAGG
rnacentral:rRNA from 1 species